rnacentral:lncRNA from 1 species
UAUGUGCACCAAUCAUUCUUUUAGCAGAUAAAGAGUAUGUUGUAGAAGAAAAUGGAUUUCAAGUGCAUCAUUAAUUACAGAACAAGAGAGCUUUAUAAAUGAAACUAUGGAUCUCUAUCAUGUUGAUCUUGGUUGCAUAUUUGACAUCCCAUGGAAGUAUCUGCUGUGGAUUAGCAAGCCCUUACUCCUCUAUCUUCCUCCCAGUGCCCCUUUCUCUUUUACCAUCAAUGCCUGCUCAUCAAAUGAAGUAACAUAAAGAUGCCCCUUGAAUGGAAAGGUCAGCCACAGAUUGCCAAGAGUUUGCAUAGGUGAUAUGAGCCUUCUGAACCCACUUCUACUCUUGGAAGAGGACAAUGGUAUUUAUAAUGCUCUGAAGUCACCAAAGUCCACCUUUGAUACUUUGGAGUGGUGUGGAAGGAACUUCAGGCUCUUCAGGUCUAUUCCAACAUCUUACAAAACUGGAAAAUCUUCAAACCAUGAUAGACUAG